CAAGUCCUCUCUGUAUGCAUAUAUAUAUAUAUAUAUAUAUAUAAAUGUAAUUUAUGUUUGUAUCGAUUAGCAUUAAUUGAUUAUAUAGUAAUUUUGGCUUCCAAUGUGUACUGUAGAAAUCAGCAUGUGUUGUAGGCUGCAAUCACUGCUGCCCUUGCCAAUCUUGCCAUCUUUGUUAAUGAGAAGCCUUGUGUCCUUUGAGUUGUGUAGAGCAUGUACUUUGUGAAAUAUACCAAUAGGGACUUCUUCCUCUGUUUUAUUUAUAUCUUUAUUUGCCUACUUUGUAUUUUUUGUAAGGUGAAAAAAAUGACAUGUGGAAAACCACUUGCAAGCUGGUCAUUUUUGUAAGGAUGAUUUUGAUUUGUGCCUGCAACUCCUGUUCAAUGAAAACCCAUCAUGCGAAAGAAAUAUGUAAAUUUAGCAAAGUGUUUUUAUUUUGAUUCACCUCAUUUAGAGUUUGAAUAAACAGAUUGGGGAAAAAGUAAAAGUAAAAGUAAAAGUUUUUUUUUUUUUUUUUUUUUAAGUGCAUGAAAUCAGAAGUACAAGCACGAGAGAUCAGACAAAACCUGUUCAUCUUCACAAACCGUUGUGGCCAUUUGACAAUAUCUGUGCUGACAUGCUGCCCAUGUGCUGUAAAGUGUGGUUUUUUCAAAUUAGUUAUUCCUGUGUUUUUGAUAUUCUUUAAACAAUAGUAUUUGUUUAAGAGGAUUUUGAAACAAGGUGGAUUGAUGAGGAUCUGGAUAAAUAUUUCUUUGCUGUCUGGUGUUGUUUCAAUCCAGAUUAAAUAAAUUAGAACUAAUUCAGUUAAUGUGUAGGAUAGGUUGUAUGAGUGGUAGUAGCUGAUGUAUAGGAAUGUAGACCUUACUUUGACCUAUUCUUGGAAACAAUUGAUAGUUAGUUUAUUAAGUUUAUUCACUUCAGGAUACAAAUUUUGGGGAAUCAAGAACCUUGAUUUGACGAAUAGAGUGUUUUUUUUUACUUCUUUUUACAACAAUUUUUGUAUUGUUUUUUGGUGUCUCAACAAUAUAUAUCUUCACAUACCAGGAAAAGAGUGUGUGUGUUUUUGUGUGCAACUCCAUUAACAAAUUAUCUAUCUAUCUAUCUAUCUAUAUCUCAAUAAGUAUGUACCUUCAACAAAAACAGAACCCUAAAAAACCCAUUUGUCUCCUUGGCUUUCUCCCUCCAAUACUAGAAAAAUAAGCACAAAAACCAUGCAUCUCCAUCACUUUUCUGCACCCCAUUGCCUGCACGAAACCCUAAAUAUCUAUUCUUCUCCAUGACUUUCCCAUCAUUUCAUGGAAUGGAACCCUAAAAACCAUGCAAAUCCUGCCACUUUCCCUUUCUUUGAUGGUGUGCAGAAUGCUAAAAACCUGUGUUUGUAUCCAUGCAUUUAAGGAGGGUGAUGGUGCUUCCCCAAAGUUGGAUAACAACAAAACUAACUAUAGGAAACUUUGACUGCCACUGCAAGCCACAACUCCUACAAAUGAAACAAGAGAGAGAGGCUGGUGGGUGGUAUUAUUUAUUUAUCUACUUACUUACUUAUUAAUACCACCAUCUUAUUAUACUUUGUUUUGUUUUUUGUUCAUUGCUUUAUGUUGGCACGAGACAUGAGAGAUUUGAGGAGAUUGGGUUUUCUGGCUGCUGAUCUGACACUGCAACAAAAUUCAAGGAUUUGAUCAGAUACUAUAUUCCAUUGCCUUCUCCACAUGCCGAGAAGAAAAAAAGGAACCCCAAAAAGAGAAAGCCAAAAGGUGGGUUCCACUUUCCUUUUGACUUUGUUGUGUUUUGUUCCCUUGUUCCCCUUCCCCUAUUUCAAAGAGCCCAGAGCAUUAGACCACAAUCCAAAUUACAGAUGGGGGAGGGAAAUUAAAAUAAAAAAAGGGAAAAAAUAGAGGCAAAUUUGGUUGACUGAAAAUAUGAUGGUAUAUACUUUUGAUAGAAAUGGAAGCAAUAUUUAUUUUUAAUUAAUCUUUCUUAAUAAUAUUUUUAAAAAAAUCAUGUACAAAUCUUCAAAGGGUGGUGGGGAAAUUGACAUCAUAUGGAUUUGAUUUUUGGUGCCCUUGUGAUACACAGCCUUUCAAGGAAGGAGCAGCCAUUUGAAGAACCAAGCUUCACACCCCAUAUUCAGAAUGAGCCACAGUUCAUCCAUAGUAAAAUUAAAUAAAACAUCAGCAAUGUAAAAACCUACUGAUAGCAGUGGUACAUUUCAAUAGAGUUGCACACAUACAUGAAUGAAAGCAGAGACAGGAUGAAUGCCAUUGUGCGAGGGUUUUCCAUCAGGCAGAUCACAUGUAUCUCUGUUUGUGUGUGUAUGAGUGUGUGUUUAUAUUUGUAUAUGAAUAUAUAUAUAUAUAUAUAUAUAUGAAUGUGUAUACAUAUAUGAAUGAGUGAGCAAUCAGAUUCAACAAGUAAUCCGUGUGUGUGCAAGCAGGUUUUGCUUUCUUCUCAUUGGGCACAGAGCACCGGGCAUGGAAUUAUAAGACAUAGUUCCAGGGGGUUUGCCAAUAAUAAUGGGUCCACUGCACCAUUGCUUUAUGGAUGAAUGAAUGAAAAAGGAGCAUUUGCCUCAUCCACAAACACCAAAAAGCUCACUUUGACACCUCUUCUGUGCAUGGAAACCCUAAUAAUGUGAGGACUGGGGUGAAGUUUUGGGGCAGGACAGCUGCGUUUUUUUAUACUUUGGGCCUUGUCUUUGUGUACAGAGUGAAAAGAGGACAAUGGGUUUAGUUUGAGUAUAUUUAUCUGCAGUUAUUCUUUUUGGACAUAUAGAAAAAGAAUAGUUUGUAGUGCAUACUUGAAAAAUAUCCCAUUAAAAAUGGAAAUGUAACAAUGCCAACAUUUAAUGUGAUUUCAUUCUUUGGAA
rnacentral:lncRNA from 1 species